UGGUGUGAUGGGACAUUGUCC
rnacentral:miRNA from 1 species